rnacentral:rRNA from 1 species
UACGUAGGGUGCGAGCGUUAAUCGGAAUUACUGGGCGUAAAGCGUGCGCAGGCGGUUCGUUGUGUCGGCGGUGAAAGCCCCGGGCUCAACCUGGGAAUGGCCGUUGAAACUGGCGAACUGGAGUGUGGCAGAGGGGGGUGGAAUUCCUGGUGUAGCAGUGAAAUGCGUAGAUAUCGGGAGGAACACCAGUGGCGAAGGCGACUACCUGGCCUGUUCUUGACGCUGAGGCGCGAAAGCUAGGGGAGCAAACGGG